rnacentral:rRNA from 1 species
UCGACGGAGAGUUUGAUCCUGGCUCAGGACGAACGCUGGCGGCGUGCUUAACACAUGCAAGUCGAACGAGAAACCGGAGCUUGCUCCGGUGGAAAGUGGCGAACGGGUGAGUAACACGUGAGAAAUCUGUCCUAGAGACCGGGACAACCAUCGGAAACGAUGGCUAAUACCGGAUACCCCCACACGGUCGCAUGGUCGAGUGAGGAAAUGCUCAGGUGCUCUAGGAGGAUCUCGCGGCCUAUCAGCUAGUUGGUGGGGUAACGGCCUACCAAGGCAUCGACGGGUAGCUGGUCUGAGAGGACGAUCAGCCACACUGGGACU